GACGAACGCUGGCGGCGUGCUUAACACAUGCAAGUCGAACGGUAAGGCCCUUCGGGGUACACGAGUGGCGAACGGGUGAGUAACACGUGGGUGAUCUGCCCUGCACUUCGGGAUAAGCCUGGAAACUGGGUCUAAUACCGGAUAGGACCACUGCCUGCAUGGGUGGUGGUGGAAAGCUUUUGCGGUGUGGGAUGGGCCCGCGGCCUAUCAGCUUGGUGGUGGGGUGAUGGCCUACCAAGGCGACGACGGGUAGCCGGCCUGAGAGGGUGACCGGCCACACUGGGACUGAGAUACGGCCCAGACUCCUACGGGAGGCAGCAGUGGGGAAUAUUGCACAAUGGGCGCAAGCCUGAUGCAGCGACGCCGCGUGAGGGAUGACGGCCUUCGGGUUGUAAACCUCUUUCAGCACCGACGAAGCGCAAGUGACGGUAGGUGCAGAAGAAGGACCGGCCAACUACGUGCCAGCAGCCGCCGUAA
rnacentral:rRNA from 1 species